rnacentral:sRNA from 1 species
GCUGGGGACAGUGGCACACUCCUGUAAUCCCAGCAUCUUUGGAAGCUGAGGUAGGAGAAUCGCGAGUUCAAAGCCAGUCUCAGCAACUUAGUGAGACCCUGUCUCUA